CACACCCGCCCCUCGGCGCGCUGAUCACAUCUCGCGAUGAUUGCGCGGCAGUUGCGUUGUUCGGGCGAGCCGACGACGAGACUAUAGCUGUCUGGAAAUUUGUCUCGUGGUUUAGACUAAAAGGUAUUAUUCAUAUUGGACAUUUUGUAUACCCGCGACCAGAUACUCGUAACCGCAUUUUACCGCGCGCCACUGUCCGUGUCCCGAAUCAGAGCGGACGAUGUCUGAUGCUGAGGUGAACGGCAGCUCCGCUCCGGUGAAAGAGGAAGAGGAGCCCAUGGAUGUGGCCACCACGCACACAGAGAACUACCAGACGCUGGUGGAUGCCGGGCUGCCCCAGAAAGUAGCUGAAAGUCUAGAUAACAUCUUCCAGACAGGCUUGGUGGAGUAUGUUGACCUGGACGAAAGGGCCAUUGAUGCACUGCGUGAAUUCAAUGAGGAGGGAGCGCUUACUGUGCUGCAACAAUUCAAGGAGAGUGACCUGUCCCACGUACAGAAUAAAAGUGCUUUCCUUUGUGGAGUGAUGAAGACUUACAGACAGAGAGAAAAACAAGGAAGUAAAGUACAAGAGUCCACUAAGGGCCCAGAUGAAGCAAAAAUAAAGGCUCUGUUGGAGAGGACCAGAUAUACCCUGGAUGUCACCACAGGGCAGAGGAAAUAUGGAGGUCCCCCGCCUGAUGAUGUGUUCAAAGGAAUACAACCAGGGAUUGGAACUGAGGUGUUUGUUGGAAAAAUCCCAAGGGAUUUAUAUGAAGAUGAGCUGGUGCCUCUGUUUGAGUCUGCUGGUCCCAUCUGGGACCUGAGGCUCAUGAUGGACCCUCUCUCUGGUCAGAAUAGAGGCUAUGCCUUCAUUACCUACUGCAAUAAGGACGAUGCACAAAAGGCUGUAAAGCUUUGUGAUAACCAUGAAAUCCGCUCUGGCAAGUACUUGGGAGUGUGUAUAUCUGUUGCAAACAAUCGCCUGUUUGUUGGAUCAAUUCCAAAGAACAAGACAAGGGAAAGUAUAUUGGAAGACUUUGGAAAAGUUACAGAGGGUCUCCAAGAGGUGAUAUUGUACCACCAGCCAGAUGACAAGAAGAAAAACCGUGGCUUCUGCUUCCUGGAGUACGAGGAUCACAAGUCCGCAGCACAGGCUCGCCGCCGCCUCAUGAGUGGCAAGGUCAAGGUGUGGGGGAACCCCGUCACUGUGGAGUGGGCCGAUCCUGUGGCCGAGCCAGACGCUGAGGUCAUGGCCAAGGUCAAGGUGCUUUUUGUGAGGAAACUGGCCACAGCAGUGACUGAAGAGCUCCUUGAAAAAACCUUCUCUCAGUUUGGAAAGCUGGAGCGAGUUAAGAAAUUGAAAGACUACGCUUUUGUCCAUUUUGAGGAAAGGGAUGCUGCCGUAAAGGCAAUGGAUGAGAUGAAUGGAAAAGAGCUAGGAGGAGAGGAAAUUGAGAUAGUUCUGGCAAAGCCUCCAGACAAGAAGAGGAAAGAGCGCCAAGCAGCUCGGCAGACCACCAGGAAUUCGGGGUAUGAUGACUACUACUACUACCCACCUCCACGCAUGCCGCCACCCGGCCGAGGCAGGGGUCGUGGUGGCCGGGGGGGGUAUGCCUAUCCACCAGAUUACUAUGGCUAUGAUGACUACUAUGAUGACUACUAUGGCUAUGACUAUCAUGACUACCGUGGUGGCUAUGAAGACCCUUACUACAGCUACGAAGAAGUGUACACCAUGAGGGGCCGUGGCGCUCGUCCCAGCAGGGGGGGGCCUCCUCCACCUAGAUCCCGUGGAGCACCCCCGGCACGAGGUCGGGGUGGCUACGCCCAAAGAGGGCCCCCCAUCGGUGGUCCAAGAGGUGGCCGAGGAGGGCGUGGUACCCCUUUCCAGCAACAGAGGGGUCGCGGUCCUCGCGGGGCCAGGGGAAAUCGCGGCGGUAACGUGGGCGGAAAGAGGAAGGCCGACGUGUUCAACCAGCCUGACUCCAAGCGCCGCCAGACCAACAACCAACAGAACUGGGGGUCCCAGCCCAUCGCCCAGCAGCCUCUGCAGCAAGGGGCCGACUAUUCCGGUGGAGAAGCAUUGAGAGCGGCACCACUAGAAUGAGGAACUCACCUGAACGGUACUCAAGGGUGAGCUAGCCUUGCACAGAGUACUGUCUCCUCUCCUGUAGCCAUUUGUAAUCACUGGAGAAACACUAGCCUUAAUUCUACUUUGUUCUUUACCUUGUUUCCUGACUAAUGUAAUGCACUACAAAUCAAGCUUAGCAGUGGGAGUGUGAUUGUGUGUGUGUUUUUUCCAGGAUAUGAAGAACACAGCUCACUAAAGUUGACUAGAAUCAUUGGAAAUGUUCAAAUUCAUUGUUCCAGCAUGCUUCUAGGUUUUUAGAGAACACAGGAGCCGUGCAUAUUUCCUUCACAGCAGUGCUUAUUUUUCCCUGAAUGCCAAUUGAAAAGUUGUGUAAAAAUUUAGAGCCAAAUGGCUGCUUCUUUUGACUGAAUUAAACAGCCAGGGGGCAUACAGUCAAGGAUUUGGUAAGCGCUAUAAAACCCUGCAAAACAUGUGUUGCCCGUCUUUGCUCAAUGCACCAAAGCCACGCCUCAGUUGUCUGCACACAUUCUGUGAAUGGAGGGUGGUGGUGGGCAUUUCCCCUCCAAUGCCACUAGAGGUAGCACCGCGAGAGAUCCAUUGUUCCUUUUAUGCGACGCUGCUUUCACUGUCCAUUUUCUGAGCUGAAACUGUGCUAAUUAAUACACAUGUAUCAAGUAGAUGAGCUGCAAUUGUAAUUUAUUCAAAUAGCUGGACGGAUCCUCAAUGAAAAACUGAUUGGAUUGGCCGGCCGAUGUUUGAAUGGCUGUGCCUCCAAAACAGAUGUCUGUACCCUUGAACGCCACCAGAUGGCAGUAGUAGUCCUCCAGUGUUCAUAAUGCACAGGUAAGACUGAAAUAGGAAGCAGUGUUGUGUAAGAAAGCUCAUUGUAUCACACAUUUUGGUAUGUAUUGCAGUGCCAUCAUUGCGUUUCCUUUCCAGUUUCUCAUGUCAGAACUGUGUCUUUAUAUGUUGCCUCUUGUCACCAGGCAGUAAAGCAGCUGCCCGCAUCCAUGUGAAUGAGUUCACACAAAUGGAAGUGACUGAUUGCUCAGUCACGAGACCGUCCUCAUCAAACUCGUUGCAGGGUUUCUCGUCCCUCCGAGUGAACUCCUUACUGGACACUUGAGGUCACGGGA